rnacentral:rRNA from 1 species
GCUGGCGGCACACCUAACACAUGCAAGUCGAACGAAGUAGCAAUACUUAGUGGCAGACGGGUGAGUAACAUGUAGGUAUCUGCCCUUUGGCCUGGAAUAACACGAGGAAACUUGUGCUAAUACUGGAUAAGUCUUUACGGAGAAAGCUUUAUGCGCCGAAGGAUGAGCCUGCACUUGAUUAGUUUGUUGGUGGGGUAAUGGCCUACCAAGACUUUGAUCUAUAGCUGAUCUGAGAGGAUGAUCAGCCACAUUGGGACUGAGACACGGCCCAAACUCCUACGGGAGGCAGCAGUAGGGAAUAUUGCACAAUGGAGGAAACUCUGAUGCAGCGAUGCCGCGCUGAGUGAAGAAGGCCUUUGGGUUGUAAAGCUCUUUCGUCGGGGAAAGAAAAUGACUGUACCCGAAUAAGAAGGUCCGGCUAACUUCGUGCCAGCAGCCGCGGUAAUACGAAGGGACCUAGCGUAGUUCGGAAUUACUGGGCUUAAAGAGUUCGUAGGUGGUUA